rfam:Methanococcoides burtonii DSM 6242, complete genome.
GGAGACUUGAUCAUGUAGAUCGAACGGACUCUAAAUCCUUUCAGCCGGGUUAGAUUCCCGGAGUUUCCG